GAUGAACGCUAGCGGCAGGCCUAACACAUGCAAGUCGAGGGGUAGAGUUCUUCGGAACUUGAGACCGGCGCACGGGUGCGUAACGCGUAUGCAAUCUACCUUAUACAGGGGAAUAGCCCAGAGAAAUUUGGAUUAAUGCCCCAUAGUGUUAUCGAAUCGCAUGGUUUGAUAACUAAAGUUCCAACGGUAUAAGAUGAGCAUGCGUCCCAUUAGUUAGUUGGUAAGGUAACGGCUUACCAAGACAAUGAUGGGUAGGGGUCCUGAGAGGGAGAUCCCCCACACUGGUACUGAGACACGGACCAGACUCCUACGGGAGGCAGCAGUGAGGAAUAUUGGUCAAUGGGCGCAAGCCUGAACCAGCCAUGCCGCGUGCAGGAAGACGGUCCUAUGGAUUGUAAACUGCUUUUAUACAGGAAGAAACCCUCCCACGUGUGGGAGCUUGACGGUACUGUAGGAAUAAGGAUCGGCUAACUCCGUG
rnacentral:rRNA from 1 species